GCCAGGCGAGGUGCCGCAUGCCUGUUAUCCCAGCGGCUCGGGAGGCUGAGGCAGGAGGAUCACAAGUUCAAAGCCAGCCUCAGCAAGUUCAAAGCCAGUCUCACUAAGCAACUUGGUGAGACCCUGUAUCUA
rnacentral:sRNA from 1 species